UGAAGAGGGUGAUGUUCCCUGCUGUCU
rnacentral:piRNA from 1 species